rnacentral:rRNA from 1 species
AGUGAACGCUGGCGGUAGGCCUAACACAUGCAAGUCGAACGGCAGCACAGUAAGAGCUUGCUCUUACGGGUGGCGAGUGGCGGACGGGUGAGGAAUACAUCGGAAUCUACUUUUUCGUGGGGGAUAACGUAGGGAAACUUACGCUAAUACCGCAUACGACCUACGGGUGAAAGCAGGGGAUCUUCGGACCUUGCGCGAUUGAAUGAGCCGAUGUCGGAUUAGCUAGUUGGCGGGGUACAGGCCCACCAAGGCGACGAUCCGUAGCUGGUCUGAGAGGAUGAUCAGCGACACUGGAACUGAGACACGGUCCAGACUCCUACGGGAGGCAGCAGUGGGGAAUAUUGGACAAUGGGCGCAAGCCUGAUCCAGCCAUACCGCGUGGGUGAAGAAGGCCUUCGGGUUGUAAAGCCCUUUUGUUGGGAAAGAAAAGCAGCAGGUUAAUACCCCGCUGUUCUGACGGUACCCAAAGAAUAAGCACCGGCUAACUUCGUG